rnacentral:lncRNA from 1 species
UUUAUUUCACAAAGACAUAAUCCAUGUUACCAAAAAUUUAUCAAGAAGCGUGGGCUUAAAUAUUUGAAUAAAUCAAUUGAAUUAAAUAACAAACUACACUCAUUCACACACCCUAUAAAUUGUACAAAACGUUCUCCAACUAAAUGAAAAUUUUGUGUUUCCAUCCAUAUGCAAGAUACAUAGAAAAUAAAAUAAUUUAACGACUGCAAUUGGAAUUGAAAUAGUUGAACUCACUAUAAAAUCACUAAGAAAAUAAAGAUAAUAACCAUCUCUAGUGUAUACAUUAAAUAAAAAAACCCUCAAUUUGAUAAGAACUAAAUCUGCACAUUAAACAAAAAAAACCUCAAUUUGCUAAGAACUAAAACAACAAUUUCAGACCAUCAUUUUGUAUUUCUAUUAUUGAAUCUUCUAUUAUUGUCAAACAACCAAGAAAAGAAUUUUUUUAAUCAAAAGAAUUCAAUUGAGAUAUAAAAAUACAUAAACAUGUAAUGAAGAAGGGAAAAAUAGUACCUCUAACCCCUCUUAUACUCUGACGGAACUUCAGCGGGUGGUGGCAAUAGAGACGGAGUCUCGACAGAGCUUCAGCGCAGCCGCUUGUUGGUGGCAGCGGUGGGUUUGGGUGAGGAAGGUUUGAGUGAGAGAGAGAAGAGAGAAGGAAGAAAAGUAAGAAAGAAGUGCGCUAAUAGGGUUUUAAAAAAUAUUUCCGACUGAAUCAGUCGCUAAUUUGGUCAAAGCAGUCAACCGUACUUUACUAAAAUUUCCAACUGAAUCGGUCGCUACUUUUUUAUUAAAAAAAAUUUAUUCCUGACCGAAUUGGUCGUUAAUAGUAGCGCGAAAUUUUCCGCCAAAAUUUACGGCAGAUAUAGACGGAAUAUUAGUCGCAAAUAUUAGUAAAAAUUGAAAAUAAAUUUUUAUGUAUUUUCGACUGAUUCCGCCGGAAAUUUCCGACUACUUUUUUCAGUCGAAAAAUUUCAAUCUGAAAUUGGCUGUUUUUUAGUAGUGUUCAUUCUGCUGACCAGCUAGCUGAUAUGCUCACAAAAGCACUAGCCAAACCGGCCUUUGAAUGCAGUUUGUUCAAGUUAGGCUUAGUGACACAUAGCCUAACUUGAGGGGACGUAUUGGAUCACCAGUAUUUUCCAUCAUCCAUAUUCAAGUCUUCAUCGAUAAUGCAGCAAUGAAGUCGUACUAAAUCUUAAUCUUUUCACUUCGUCGUUGUCAAUGUUUACUUGCUUGGUUAACUUUGUCAUCACGGCUUCAUUAAGAAAAUUAUAUUCAUCUAUACACAAAGAAAAUUGAGAUUGG